UCUGGAGCUACAACCCCUCUACUCUGGAGCUACAGCCCCACUUCUGAGCAGAUCAGCAACACUCUGCAGCUACAGCCCCCCAACUCUGCAGCUACAGCCCCUCCACUCUGGAACUACAGCCCCACCACUCAGCAGCUCAGUGCCUGUGCUCAGGAACACUGAUCCCAGAUGCUGCACUGCUUGUUCAGGUGGCACCAGGGCAGGAGCUUUGCUGCAUUCUCCAGCUUCAGCAUCCCAGCAGAGAUGAGUUGUGGCUACAGCUAAAACUUCCCACUGAGUUUGAACUCAUCCAGCAAGAGUUCAGCUUUGCUCCUAGAAUCUGGACUCAGCCCUCCUCAGUUUUUCAAUCCCCAGGUGAAUUCUUCACCUUUUUUUUAGCCAUGAAAGCAGAGUGACCAACGCCUCGAACACUCCUCCUGCAGCUUUGCCCAUGUUUGGUUUUGAGUUGAACCUCUGGCAA